rnacentral:lncRNA from 1 species
AACAUCAUAUCAUUGUGAGGUGGGCUUGGCAGUAGUGAGUCUCCCAUACCCUACUAAGAGUUUCCUCCAAAACUCUCGAAUUCCAAUGAGGGAUAUGGAAUUUGCCAAAAAAUAGUGGGUGGUGCUAUUUGAUUUAAAGACCCGAAUCAAAUGGCUUAAAAUCAAUCAAUUUAUAUUCGUUAUGUAUUUACUUACCAUUAUAUUUGCAAACGCUAUCCCACACUUGACAAAUAAAAACCGAAAGUUUAGUUUCCGGACUUGGUACUACAAAACCAUAGAUUGUCUUUAAAUGGCUUGUAAAAGUACCUAAGUAGUCUCAUCCUCA